UAAUUUUUGUCUGCAGGCAAUUCACCCCCCUCUUGCCGGUCCCCGCUGCACCAACAAGUGAGACAGAAUCUAAUUAUCACUAUAUUUUAUUAUAUUUAUGCUAACUUCUGUUUUGCAGGGUAACAUAAUAAUUAUUGUAUCAGACUAAUCAUUUUCUUGCAGGAAAAAUCUUUUGCUGGAAAAAGGGUCCAGGCGCCUGGAGUGCAAAACUUAUCUCGUCGCAAACUUGGAGCGCGUUGAUUGGCUGGGCCAACAUCACGGUCCAAGCACCUGGAAGGGAUCCGGGCGCCCGGAGAACUCCUAUAAAAGGAGCCUUCCUCCAUAGCUACAAACAAUAACUUUUGCUACGAUUGCUAUGUUACGCUCUGCUCCUACGACACUGCGAAGCCUCUCCAACAACUUGCAGCUCGAUUUUCUUUUCAAUUGUUGUCGGUAUUCUUUUCAUAGUUCCUAUACUUAUUCUGUAAUCAUUUUUUUUGAAUUAUUAGUGAUUUCACACUGAAGCACUCUCAUGUGCGAGCCUUGGAGUAGGAGUCACUGAAGGCUCCGAACCAAGUAAAAUUGGUUGUGUUAGCAUUGCCCUUACUUUUCUUAUUUCCGUUGCAUACUCGAAUCGAUUUUUGAAUUCCUAACGUUCGUUAUUCCCCCCCCCCCCCCCCCCUCGCGAGCUCUACGAUCCAACAAGUGGCAUUAGAACAGACACUGCUCUGAAUUGGUGCAACCUCCAAUUGAGCAAGGAAAGUUCCAUUAGGGACAAAAUUAGGAGAUUAUCCAAUUGAAAAAGCAACAGAGGUUUCCUAGUAUACAUUAUUUAUUUAUAUUGUAGUCAUUUUUAUCUAUAUCUUUGUAAUUUUUCCUGUAUUUGAUGGUAAGAAUAUGUCUUAUAUGAGGUUUUAUUCAUUUUUAUAAGGUCUUCGGUAAGAAAAGAGAUAGUUAGGCUAUCCAUCUAAAUCUAGGCCAUGGAGUCAAAAUAGAUACUUCUAAAUCAAGUAUAUCAUUGUAUCUCUUAUUUUUAUUUUUGUUUUGUUUUGUAUAUGUUCUUUAUAUUUUUCAAUAACCUUCUAUAGACCAACAGAAAAUAGACGAACAAAAAUAAUGUGUAUCGUUAUUCAUCCCUGAUUAAUGACAUCACCAAUCGUAACAAAACACAGAAAUAUUUCAUUAAAAUAAUAAUAAAUUUAAUACUUAACUAAAUUGAUAUAUCUCAUGGAAUACUCUAAAAAGAUAAUUAUAAAUUACAACAGUAAGAAUAAUUUUAAUAUUAAUAAUAAGUAAUGAUAAUAAAAAUUAGCUUGUCGUUAUUCACUUGUAUUUAUUAUUAUCAAAAGAUUUUUAAAAUAUUUCUUUUUUACAAUCACACAUUUUCAUCAUAGAAUAUGUCAAAAACAGUUAUUGAUAAAUAUUUUUAUUUUUUUAAACCAUAACUUCCAGUGUUAUUAUUUUUAUAUAUGUGGUACUUGGCAUUAAAAUGUAUUAUUUUAUUAAAAAGUGACAAGACUAAUAUUGUUUAAAAUUGAUUAAAAAAACUAUUUUCAUUAUAAAUUGUGUGAAACAUGAAUGCAUGCUUACUAUGGUUAGGGUAUAGAUUGAAUAAUAAAUAAAAUAUAUUUAUUUUAAAUCUAAACAAAUACAUAUGCCUUAAAAAUAUACCUUCUGACCAGUACAUGGGCAAUGGUAAGUUUCUAUGGUCACUAUUUCUUGUUUUGGAUUUCCAUAAAUCAUUUAAGAAAUUUCAUAGCACCUCUAUAAAAGUCAACGAAGAAGUGAGGAAAUACAUAUCACUUAACAAGCAUUGCACAUAAGAAGACUAGAGUGAAGGAUGGCAUCGACAAAAGGAGUAAUCCUUUGUGUGCUCUUCAAUAUGAUCAUUUGCUCGUGUUAUAUUAUUGCAACAGGUUUGAUCAUAGUUCAAUAGAAAGAGUUAUCAUUUUACCAUGCUUUUUAGAGAUAUUCAUGCUUAAAUUUGACUCUCAUAUGUAAAUUUUGGUUCUAACAAUAUCUCUUUACUUCUCUUAUUUGUAAGAGUCGAGAUAUUAUGGAGGAUAUCGCAUCGUCGCAAAAACAUGGUGCAUAGCAAACCCCCUUGCAAGCCCAGCUGCAUUACAAAGGGACAUCGAUAGCUUAUGCAAUGGCAUUGUUGAUUGCAGCUCGAUUCAACCAGGGGGCUCAUGCUACAAUCCCAACACAGUGGCGGAUCAUGCCUCUGUUGCCCUGAACCUCAACUAUAAAAAUCAUCAGUCUCAGCAACAAUUUUGUACUGGUGAUGGAUUCAUAACGAUGUCUAAUCCAUCACAUGGAUCUUGCGUUUUUCCAUAAAGGAGAAGGCUGUUAAAGGGACUCAUCAUCAAUAAAUUUGUCUCUCACCUUGUUUUUAAACAUUUGAUCAGCCAUUUGUCGCAAGCUUAAUAAAAGAUGUCCC